rnacentral:rRNA from 1 species
GCAAGUCGAACGAGGAAAUCCCUUCGGGGAGAGUAUGAGUGGCGCACGGGUGAGGAACGCGUGGAUAAUCUGCCCUUCAGUGGGGAAUAACUAGGGGAAACUCUGGCUAAUACCGCAUGAGACCACAGUGCCUGCGGGCACAGAGGUCAAAGAUUUAUCGCUGAAGGAUGAGUCCGCGUCCGAUUAGCUUGUUGGUAGGGUAAAGGCCUACCAAGGCGACGAUCGGUAACUGGUCUGAGAGGAUGAUC